CUUGGCCUCCCAAAGUGCUGGUAUUACAGGCGUGAGCCACCGCGCUUGGCAGACUUUAUUUCUUAAAGAUUGCCGUCUUACUCAGCAUCUUGGAGAACUCACAAAUAAAUGUCCCUGAGUUUCAAGACAAACCAGCCAUUAAAACCUUUUAGGGGGAUCCGGAGAAGAUGAGUUAAAUUGGAAUGGACUUGAAAAAACUGAUUUAGUUGGAUUUAUGGAUCACAGUCAUGAAAAGACUCUGAGGAAAGUGAACACGUAUGAAACUGAUUGGCAGUGAAAGAAACUAAGAAAAGGAAAGCCCAGGAUGGAGCCUAAUGGAUAUUAAAGCAAAACUGAGUUCAAUUUCAUCUGUGCUGACAAGGACUUGCUCACAUGCUGAUGAUGGUGGCAACUGCUUAAUGGAAAAAUUGCAAAGGGCCUUGGAAUGUGAUCAUCAUGUUACACAAGGCUGAACCAAAUGCCUCUGCCAGGAGAAUCCUUCAGAGUGUCCUAGAACAUUGGAAAUAGGCUUAAAGCUUAAAUGAUGAAUCAGAAGAGUUAUGCUGUAUUCUAAUGCUGCCACGAGGGCCACACAGGGUGCCAACAUCCAAUCUCAAGAUCUUUGGGAAAUCUGCUCACACUCCAAAAUAUUU